UACGUAGGGUGCAAGCGUUGUCCGGAAUUAUUGGGCGUAAAGAGCUCGUAGGCGGUCUGUCACGUCUGCUGUGAAAACCCAGGGCUUAACCCUGGGCUUGCAGUGGAUACGGGCAGACUAGAGUCCGGUAGGGGAGAUUGGAAUUCCUGGUGUAGCGGUGAAAUGCGCAGAUAUCAGGAGGAACACCGAUGGCGAAGGCAGCUCGCUGGGACGGUACUGACGCUGAGGAGCGAAAGCGUGGGGAGCGAACAGG
rnacentral:rRNA from 1 species